rnacentral:lncRNA from 1 species
ACAGGGAGUAGUGAGCAGCGGAACGCAGCAGAGAAAGGGAGGCUGGGGGAGGGAAGAGUCACAAAACAGUGGGAGAGGAAGCAAAAAGCAAGCGUCCGGGAACCGGAGGCCUGCUGGGUGCGGGGUCUGCAUGCCUAGUCUCCCUCGGACUCUGGGCUGUACACGGUGGGCACCAGAAGUGAGACUCGGCCAAGCCCUGCCGUACCAGGUGGCCAUGGAAUGGUGUAGCAGAUUGCUGCAGAUGGUUUCAAUAGUUCUGCUGAAUGCUCCUUGUUUGUGCCUGCAAGAGGAACUCAAGGCUUUAUGUAUGGCCAUUGCUGUGACCUAGUGUGAUGCUCUACUUUUCCACUGAACUCUGCUUGCUCUAACUGAGGACCUUAGCUAUAAUUUAGCCUUUUCUUUUUGUAAGUAACUACACAUAGUUGAGACAAAAUUAUUUUGAUGUUUAAAAAACAAUUUUAUUAACCAGGCGGUGGUGGCACACACCUUUAAUCCCAGCACUUGGGAGGCA